rnacentral:rRNA from 1 species
CCUACGGGUGGCAGCAGUGAGGAAUAUUGGUCAAUGGACGAGAGUCUGAACCAGCCAAGUAGCGUGAAGGAUGACUGCCCUCUGGGUUGUAAACUUCUUUUAUAUGGGAAUAAAACGUUCCACGUGUGGGAUUUUGUAUGUACCAUAUGAAUAAGGAUCGGCUAACUCCGUGCCAGCAGCCGCGGUAAUACGGAGGAUCCGAGCGUUAUCCGGAUUUAUUGGGUUUAAGGGGAGCGUAGGUGGAUUGUUAAGUCAGUUGUGAAAGUUUGCGGCUCAACCGUAAAAUUGCAGUUGAAACUGGCAGUCUUGAGUACAGUAGAGGUGGGCGGAAUUCGUGGUGUAGCGGUGAAAUGCUUAGAGAUAACGAAGAACUCCGAUUGCGAAGGCAGUUCACUGGACUGCAACUGACACUGAGGCUCGAAAGUGUGGGUAUCAAACAGGAUUAGAUACCCUUGUAGUC